CGAAUAUUUCAUGGCAAAAUUGUCACAAAAUAAAACGUAGAUAAUCAACAAAAAUAAUAAUUUUACCACGGUUUAGUCAUGAAUGUUUUCGUGGCUAAUCCACUAAAUAUCUUUUGCCACAUUUUUGUCACGAAAAAAUUCGUAGCUAUUAUAAAAUUGCCACAGUUUUGCCACCAUAUCUUUCAUUGCUAUUUGAAUCUCUAUACCCUAAUAAUUUUUAAACUCUAAACUCUAAAUAUAAACAUUAUAACUCUAAUCUUUUCCUGCUAUAGGCUCAAAUCUUAAACCUAAAUUCAAAAUUCAGUCAUUUUAAAAAUCUUUCUCAAAUUUUGAAUCUAAACCUCAAAUACUGUACUCCAAACCCUAAUAUCUAUACAUAAACCCUAUCCCCCCAAAUCAUAAAUCUUAACACUAAAUCUAAUAUUUUCAAUGUUAAACAUCAAAUCUUAAACAUACACUUUACAAAUUUAAUCUUUUCAAAAUUUCGUCUAAAAUAUUUUACAAAACCCUAAACCUCAUACUUCAAACAUUUUAUAUAUCACAAACUCUAACUUCAAAACUAAUACAUCUAUAUAUCAACAUAACUAAAUCUAUAUUUUAAAUCUAAUCUUUUAAAAUUAAAUUUAAAAAUAUUAAACUUACAUUUUAAAUUUUAUUAUGUUACUCAAGUUAUAUAUAAAGAUUAAUGAUUUAAAGGGAUAAAUA
rnacentral:lncRNA from 1 species